rnacentral:rRNA from 1 species
AUGGUACACCUUGAGGAUGACUUCCGCCAAGUUCUUACUUCAGGCACAUAUUUAUACCCCCCUAACAGUCUCCAAGAAUCACUGCACGACUGCAUUGCCCCCUUUAUGCGAUCCUUCUCAUUUUCAUCAAUCCCCAACUUGGAAGAUCUCAGCUUCUCAUCAUUUUCCACAAGUCCUAGUGGUGAGAGCCGAAGUUAUGGUACUGGAUAUAGCAGCGGUCCUGUGUGCAUGGAGAAAGUACACAUGUAUCUGAUUGACCCUGAAGCUUCGAUCUAUCUAAAGGAGAUUGCUGAGCUUAUGAUACUUGCUGGCCAUGCACCAAACAUGUGUCGUGAUUACGGAGAAACACGCCACAACAUGUUAAUGCAAUGCCUUUCUCUGCUCGGUGUUCAGAUUGAGCAAAAAAGCCACAACAACCAAGCAGAAGCAACUGCCAAUGGCGCAUGCAGCAUGCAGCUAUAUGAGAAGAAUCAGAAAAUGUGGAUCCAAGCACUCAGAGUCGUUGUCAGCAUAGUCCUCCCUGAAGAACGCGACGCUUGCGCUCAGAUUUUCGGGUGUGAUCGUAAGGUGGAGGAGGAUUGUUUUGCCAGAGCCACCACAGGGUGUACUGGACAAUUGCUCGCAGUUGGAAGUAUGAUGACCAAUGUCAAAGUGAAUGACCAGCAAUAUCAUAAAGUACCCCUGCUUCUACAGAUGCAUGAGGAAUUGGUAAAGCUUCAACCAAGUAUAAAUGUCCUCAUGUCUGGUGAUGCCAAGGGUGUGAUUAGUGAGCAGGCCAGUUUGCUUCUAGAUAAGCUUGGGGAAGAAGCAUCAAGUCUCCUUCUGGAGUUCCUGAAUGUAUAUUCUAACCUUAAACCAUGCCAACAUAAAGUACUUGAUGGAGAUAUCCUGCCAUUGACACGCCAUGUCAUCAUUUUUAUUGAACUACUUGUUGAGUACAAUGACACGAUCAAUCAUAUAUUACCCCGUGUGGAGGACGACGAUGAGGGGAAGGGGAAGGAGCAGAGCACAAAGAGAACUAAGAGUCGCUGGGAACGUUAUGUGCUCAUGUUGCUCGCUCGUUUGCAGCUGAAGGUUGAGGAGAAUGCUGAGUCUUACGAGGACGAGCGCAUGAGGUACAUUUUCCUGAUGAAUAAUGCAAUGCAUGUGGUUAAAGGCUCAGGGUCUCCCGAUCUGAGUAUGUCCAUGGGGAACGACAACCACCAACAGCUUGUCAUACGGGUGGAACAGUAUGCGACAGCUUACCUUCGAGCAUCAUGGACUGAAGCUCUGCUUCAGUUGAGUGAUCACGGUGUGAGUAAAUAUUCUGUGAAUUUCGGUCCAGGAUCUGUCUCUCAAUGGAUGAGAAAAAGCAUGAAGAAUUUCAAUUCGGCAUUCGGAGAAAUAAGCAGGGUCCAAACGACAUGGAAAGUGCCCAACCCUCAACUUAGACAACACUUACGGUUAAUUAUAUUGCAGCAAGUUCUUAACGCUUAUCGCACACUUUUAGGAAGGUAUGACUGCUGUCUGGGAAAAAAUCCAAGCAAGUACAUAAAGUACACUCCUGACGACAUAGAGAAUCAUGUUUUGGACCUGUUCGAAGGUUAA